AUGUCCGCUUCAAAAAUUCCUUUCCUGAAACAAGGAACAAGAUGGCACAUCCCACAACCCUCUUUGUUGAGAAGGAGCCAGACCAGGGGCAAAAACUCGUAUGUGCCAGGGAUGCUGUGUGCUGGAUUUCAAAAAGUCUUCAUCCAUUGUGAAGUUUUCAAGAUCAAGCCCACUCCAACACAACUAGCUAUUGGUGUUCAUUCCAAGCAUGGCUAUGAAAGAUGCUGCCUGAGAUUGGAGCCACAGACACUAGGAAGAUACCAGCUACUAAGAGGGAGUGUGCCAGUACUUCGGCCACCACCAGCUGCUCCCAGCAUGUGCAUUAGCAGGAAGCAGGAUUGGAAGCAGAGGAUCUGGGACUUGAACCAGGCACACCAAUAUGGUUUAUAUGUGUUCCAAGAGGCACCUUAAUGACUGAGUAAAAUGCCUGCCUUAAAAACAAAUAAAAAAACCUUUGGGGCUGGCUUAAUUCA
rnacentral:lncRNA from 1 species